rnacentral:rRNA from 1 species
UACGUAGGGGGCAAGCGUUGUCCGGAUUUAUUGGGCGUAAAGAGCGUGUAGGCGGCCAGGUAGGUCCGCUGUGAAAACUCGAGGCUCAACCUCGAGAUGUCGGCGGAAACCAUCUGGCUAGAGUCCGGAAGAGGAGAGUGGAAUUCCUGGUGUAGCGGUGAAAUGCGCAGAUAUCAGGAAGAACACCGGUGGUGUAGACGGCUUACUGGACCACGACUGACACUGAGGCACGAAAGCGUGGGUAGCAAACAGG